rnacentral:rRNA from 1 species
CAGCCGCGGGAAUACGGAGGAUCCAAGCGUUAUCCGGAAUCAUUGGGUUUAAAGGGUCCGUAGGCGGUCUUGUAAGUCAGUGGUGAAAGCCCAUCGCUCAACGGUGGAACGGCCAUUGAUACUGCAGGACUUGAAUUAUUGGGAAGUAACUAGAAUAUGUAGUGUAGCGGUGAAAUGCUUAGAGAUUACAUGGAAUACCAAUUGCGAAGGCAGGUUACUACCAAUUGAUUGACGCUGAUGGACGAAAGCGUGGGUAGCGAACAGGAUUAGAUACCCCCGUAGUCCCUGUCUCUUAUACACA